rnacentral:lncRNA from 1 species
UUUAAAUGCUAAAAACUCAUACGCAUUCAAAUUUUGAUUAAAUUCUUAGAUCAGCUGGUCAAGGCUGAGAAGAUUAGGUAUCACUUUUAUUUCUUUCCAACUAAGCAAUCACCUUACCUCAAAAUCAACAGUAGGAGUUAAAAUCUUACAUUAAAAAGCAUGCAUGCAAUUAAUAAGAAGUAAAAAUGGUUGUAUUGCUUUAGAGUUCGUUCACAACAUACUCUUAUUACACAAUGAAAUAGCAAAUUAAGGGCCCCUAUUAUUAAAGAGGAGGAUGGGGAGUCGCUGGCGAUGUAUGAGCUGGUGUAUAGUCAAUCACUAUUGAAUCAGCUUGAAUUUCUGUUUCUUUUUCCAUUCAUAAACCUUCGCUGGACUUGCAUAAGCUUGUUUUGAUUCCAUUUCUCUUCUUCCAAUGCCUGCUGCUAAGUACAACAACAAUAGGAAAAAAAAAGUUAAUCACUAUUAUCCUGAAAAGGUGGAUUCAGAAUUCAAUUCGAUGGAACUAUAUAUCCUUUUAGAGUUCUUGGUACUAAAUUUAUUGUACAUAAGAUAUCAUGGGUUUAAUAUAUAAUAUUAUUUAAAUUUACACUGAGUUCAAGUUAACAAAUAUAGAUCCAGGAUUUAACUUUGAUGAAUUUAACCAUUAAAGUUCGUAGCGCGGAUCUUAUUGCACAUCUGAUAUUAUGGCUUAAAAUUGAAAUAUACUAAUAUUUGUUACUAAAAUUUAAUGAUUAUAUAUAUAUAUAUAUAUAUAUAGCUAGUAAGAUGAAAAAUAAUUAUGUCAAAUGAAAGAGGGUGCAUUACCUUCUGUCACUGUUAAUAUGGAACAAACCAAAAAGAUGGUCUUGAGAAGAAGAAAAUUGUUUGUUGCAACAGCCUUCAUCUUCAAGACUACUGCUUCAAAAAAAU